rnacentral:misc_RNA from 1 species
GAUGAAGAACGUAGCGAAAUGCGAUAAGUAAUGUGAAUUGCAGAAUUCAGUGAAUCAUCGAAUCUUUGAACGCACAUUGCGCCCACUAGUAUUCUGGCGGGCAUGCCUGUUCGAGCGUCUUUUGCACCCCUCGGGCCCGUAGGCUUAGGCCUCCGGGGCGCGGUGUUGGGGCGUCGCGGCAGCCGCGAGCCCCUAAAUCGAGUGGCGGACCUACCUGUGGCCCUGGCGUAGUAGCUAAACCUCGCCUUCGGUUGCAGGUCGGAUCUUGCCUAGAAACCCAACUCCAAAAUUAGACCUCGAAUCAGGUAGGAAUACCCGCUGAACUUAAGCAUAUCAAUAAGCGGAGGA